AUUAUAUGAAAUUAUAUGAACGCACUUCGUAUUAUUCGUAUAUUUUUAAAAUAAAAUAAACUCUAUUUCAGGAAAGUACCUUUUUUUAGUAUUCUUCUAGGUUCUUCCCCUAGGUACCCUGUAAGUACCUAUUUACUUUAAGUAGGUACAUUUUGUAAAUACCACUCUAUACCUAUUGUGUUUGUUCAGACAUUAUUAUGUUUUCAAAAAGUUUAUGUAUCUACGCAUUAUCUGUUAGCGAAUUAAAUUAUAAUUAGUUAUGAAACUCGAUAACCGCAUUUCCUCUGCAGACGUGACGUUAGCAAGUAUAAAUUGAGAUUCACCUCUGACCCACUGACUAUCAUUCCACCGUCUUCCGAUCUCACUGUAGGUAUAAACUUUGACUGGUAUGUUUAUUAUGAAAACGGCCAAACGAAGAGUGUCAUCAUUUCAUAAAUAUGAUUAACAUAUAAUAUUUAAAAAUAACAGCUUAACUCUCCUAUUAUUAUUCACCGUUGCGGUUUCAACACGCAUCCGCGAAAAUCGGAGAUGCGUAAAACAAAUCCUCAAAAAUAAUCAACAUGUUGUUCGCUAGGGUGCAAUUACUCUAUGGAUUCCCCAAAGCUACGUCAAGACGCCGCCGCUCAAUUAACGUAAUUAUUUUAUUAGAAGUCGUGUCAACGCGUAAUGGACACACGCCGAUCUGACGUUAAUCUUGUUGUGAUCGCGGCGCAUGCGCAUUUGUCGCUCAUAUAAAUAGCGCGCGCGCCCGCCCCACCUCAUAACGUGCUCGGCAUUCGUAGUGAACGUUUCUAAGUGACACCAAGUUGUGAAGUGAAAACUCAUCAUGUUUACCAAUCCGUUUGAGAGAAAACACUCGGCCUUGAGGCAGACGCUGGACAGGUUCCUGGGGCCGGAGUCCAGGCUCAGCUUCAAGUGGAAGCGAGGGUCUUCGAAGAUCGGCAGCAGGGGAAAUGUCUCCGGCAGCUCGUCUUCCGUCUACUCCAUCAACUCCACGCAGUCAGCCUCCACCAUCAGCACCAAGAGCUACGAGAAGAGAUAAGGCUGCAGCCGCUUCAUGAUUGAUUCAUGACAGUGAUUAUUUUAUGGAUUCACGAGCCUCAGUAAACGAUUGAGCUCGUGGGAUCAGACUGCGGAACCAGUUCAAUGACGUCAAAGGCAGCGCCGGUUGAGGAGUGCCGGAGCGUGGCAGCGGUCCGACUUUCAGUGAAGAGGAUGGAAGAGAGAUGUGAAAACUGAUGAUUAAUGUGUGAAGACAGUGUUCAAUAAAACCUUUUAUUUGUUAUCAAGAA